UGUUUAUGAGGAUAAAUCUAAGGCUUGUUUCUCAAGAACAUUCGCAGUUGCCGACUAAGAGCUUUCCCCUUUCGCCGGGCUUGAGAGCUAAUGUUGCUGUAUUCCUCCUUCCUUGGGUGUCUAAAACA